rnacentral:rRNA from 1 species
CAGUCGCCGCGGGAAUACGUAGGUGGCAAGCGUUGUCCGGAAUUAUUGGGCGUAAAGGGCUCGCAGGCGGUUUCUUAAGUCUGAUGUGAAAGCCCCCGGCUCAACCGGGGAGGGUCAUUGGAAACUGGGAAACUUGAGUGCAGAAGAGGAGAGUGGAAUUCCACGUGUAGCGGUGAGAUGCGUAGAGAUGUGGAGGAACACCAGUGGCGAAGGCGACUCUCUGGUCUGUAACUGACGCUGAGGAGCGAAAGCGUGGGGAGCGAACAGGAUUAGAUACCCGGGUAGUCCCUGUCUCUUAUAC